UAUCGGAAUGAUUUAUGCCUAUUAUCACCCGACUGUAGAGAGAUGGAUGGAGAAGUUAGAGGAGUGUGAAACGAAGAAAAGACUAUCCAUAAAAACCGCUAUUGUUACUAUUGCCGUGCUUGUCGGCUAUGUGUGGUAUGAAUGUAUCUACAAGCUGGACAAGACCAGUU